AUUGAACGCUGGCGGCAGGCCUAACACAUGCAAGUCGAACGGUAACAGGAAGCAGCUUGCUGCUUUGCUGACGAGUGGCGGACGGGUGAGUAAUGUCUGGGAAACUGCCUGAUGGAGGGGGAUAACUACUGGAAACGGUAGCUAAUACCGCAUAACGUCGCAAGACCAAAGAGGGGGACCUUCGGGCCUCUUGCCAUCGGAUGUGCCCAGAUGGGAUUAGCUAGUAGGUGGGGUAACGGCUCACCUAGGCGACGAUCCCUAGCUGGUCUGAGAGGAUGUCCAGCCACACUGGAACUGAGACACGGUCCAGACUCCUACGGGAGGCAGCAGUGGGGAAUAUUGCACAAAGGGCGCAAGCCUGAUGCAGCCAUGCCGCGUGUAUGAAGAAGGCCUUCGGGUUGUAAAGUACUUUCAGCGGGGAGGAAGGGAGUAAAGUUAAUACCUUUGCUCAUUGACGUUACCCGCAGAAGAAGCACCGGCUAACUCCGUG
rnacentral:rRNA from 1 species